AUUGAACGCUAGCGGCAGGCCUAACACAUGCAAGUCGAGCGGAUGAAGGGAGCUUGCUCCUGGAUUCAGCGGCGGACGGGUGAGUAAUGCCUAGGAAUCUGCCUGGUAGUGGGGGAUAACGUCCGGAAACGGGCGCUAAUACCGCAUACGUCCUGAGGGAGAAAGUGGGGGAUCUUCGGACCUCACGCUAUCAGAUGAGCCUAGGUCGGAUUAGCUAGUUGGUGGGGUAAAGGCCUACCAAGGCGACGAUCCGUAACUGGUCUGAGAGGAUGAUCAGUCACACUGGAACUGAGACACGGUCCAGACUCCUACGGGAGGCAGCAGUGGGGAAUAUUGGACAAUGGGCGAAAGCCUGAUCCAGCCAUGCCGCGUGUGUGAAGAAGGUCUUCGGGUUGUAAAGCACUUUAAGUUGGGAGGAAGGGCAGUAAGUUAAUACCUUGCUGUUUUGACGUUACCAACAGAAUAAGCACCGGCUAACUUCGUG
rnacentral:rRNA from 1 species